rnacentral:rRNA from 1 species
CGUGAGUGAAGAAGGCUUUCGGGUCGUAAAGCUCUGUCAAGUGGGAAAAACGUCUUUCGGUUAAUAGCCGGAAGAUCUGAUGGUACCACUGGAGGAAGCACCGGCUAACUCCGUGCCAGCAGCCGCGGUAAUACGGAGGGUGCAAGCGUUGUUCGGAAUUACUGGGCGUAAAGAGCGUGUAGGCGGUUUGGUCAGUCAGACGUGAAAGCCCUGGGCUUAACCCAGGAAGUGCAUUUGAUACUACCAUCCUUGAGUAUGGGAGAGGAGAGUGGAAUUCCCGGUGUAGAGGUGAAAUUCGUAGAUAUCGGGAGGAACACCCGUGGCGAAGGCGGCUCUCUGGACCAAUACUGACGCUGAGACGCGAAAGCGUGGGGAGCAAACAGGAUUAGAUACCCUGGUAGUCCACGCCGUAAACGAUGAGAACUAGGUGUAGCGGGUAUUGACCCCUGCUGUGCCGGAGUUAACGCAUUAA